CCUACGGGAGGCAGCAGUAGGGAAUUUUGCGCAAUGGGGGAAACCCUGACGCAGCAACACCGCGUGAAUGUUAAGCUCUUCGGGGUGUAAAGUUCUGUCAAGAGGGACGAAUUUUGACUGCACUUAUAAAGGAAGCACCGGCUAACUCCGUGCCAGCAGCCGCGGGAAUACGGGGGGUGCAAGCGUCGUCCGGAAUCAUUGGGCGUAAAGCGUUCGUAGGCGGUAAUGCAAGUCUGAUGUUAAAGCCCGGGGCUCAACUCCGGGACGGCAUUGGAUACUGGCCAACUAGAAUGUGGGAGAGGUAAAGGGAAUUCCUGGUGUAGCGGUGAAAUGCGUAGAUAUCAGGAGGAACAUCAGUGGCGAAAGCGCUUUACUGGACCAUUAUUGACGCUGAGGAACGAAAGCCAGGGGAGCAAAUGGGAUUAGAUACCCGAGUAGUC
rnacentral:rRNA from 1 species